GAAGAAGAUGUUUCUUCUGAUGAAGAACAAAGCAUCCAUCCUGUAGGCCUUUCAAAACGCCGCAGGAUAUCUUCUUCAUCAAGUGAAGACUCUGAUUCCAGCGAGCCACUGCUACCAACCUGUCCCUGCUGUACUGGGAGAAGGAAACGUUCUUCCUCUUCCGAUGAGGCUCUCAAUGAAGAAGUGAG